rnacentral:misc_RNA from 1 species
UUUUGCACAUCUGCUUUGGCCGCGCUUUGGCUCGUCGCUGAUACACGGCCGCCGUCGGGAAAUUCGAUUCUGCGUGCGUCGCGCGUCGCUGCCGCCGCGCGAUCUCGCCGUAUGGAGAGACAGCAUUUGGAAGAAUUGAAAAUGCAGACAAUAAAGUGUGUUGUAGUGGGAGACGGGGCAGUUGGUAAAACUUGUUUAUUAAUCUCCUACACCACAAAUAAAUUUCCAUCGGAAUAUGUUCCAACAGUAUUUGACAAUUAUGCAGUCACUGUUAUGAUUGGCGGUGAACCAUAUACAUUAGGAUUAUUUGAUACAGCUGGUCAGGAAGACUACGAUCGUCUGCGUCCAUUAAGUUACCCACAAACUGAUGUAUUUCUUGUGUGCUUCUCAGUUGUAUCGCCGUCAUCGUUCGAAAACGUUAAAGAAAAGUGGGUACCAGAAAUAACGCAUCACUGUCAAAAAACGCCGUUUUUGUUGGUCGGUACGCAAAUUGAUUUACGAGACGAUGCGGCGACGAUCGAAAAGCUUGCGAAGAACAAGCAAAAAGCAAUUUCCGGUGAACAAGGAGAGAAGCUUGCUAAGGAAUUAAAAGCUGUAAAAUAUGUCGAAUGUAGCGCUCUUACACAGAAAGGACUUAAGAAUGUAUUUGAUGAGGCAAUAUUAGCGGCUUUGGAGCCUCCGGAACCUGUCAGAAGAAGAAGGUGUACCAUUUUGUAGGAGGUGUUUGGUUUUUUUUUAUAAAAAGAAUGUUAGUUCUACAGUGACUAAGACUGUGAGAACCAAUACUCGCCUCUUAACGUUCCGGACUCUUAAAAUCAAUACCUAAUAUAUAUAUAUUCCCACACUCGCUACAAGUGCAAAUAUUAGAUUAUCUAUCAAUUUAAUAGAUUUAAUUGUUCAACGAGCCAGUGAGUUUUGCGUUUCAGCUCACGGAAAGCGAUUAAAUGAGAAUUAUGAUAGAAUAUUAUACAACAUACAACAUUGCUAUUAUAUAGUCUCUGAAACAAGGAGGAAAGAAAAAAUUCUCUCUAUUGUGGGAUCAUGUGCAGAAGCACUGCACGAGCGCGUGUCUCUAUACAUAAUUAUAUUUUAUAAGAUCUGUAAAACUGUUUUGGUGGCCAUAUCGAUAUGUUAUCAUUAAAACAAAUAAUUAUGUUAAUAUAUAUUUUUGAUUAGUUUAAUGUAUGUCCUAUGUAUUGCGCAACUGAAUUCUUUAGUUAUAGUCCCGUACGAUUUAGUUAUGUGUAAGGUUCCUUAUAUGAAAAUUCUUAUAAAAUACAAAUAACUAUUAUUUCGAUAACUUGUACAAAAUACGUUACACUAAAGAUACAAUAGAAAAUAUCAGGAUUGGAUAAAUUUGUUUAAUGAUUGUAUUUUCUACAUUGAAAACUAAACAAUAGCCUAAAAAAAUGCGGAAUGUUUUGGUAUCAGGUAAAAGUCCACAGAUCGAGCAUGGAACCGCAGAUUUUUAUUGGCCGAUGCAUUUUGUCUAUACAAGAUCAUUUAAAUAAAUUUAGAUUUAUUCGAUUAUUAUUUCUACUCAGUUUUGUGUUAUUGUAAAUAUUCUCGUUUCUAUCGAGUUAAAUAUUGUAUUACAGUCUGCCAUAGAUUUUGUACGUCGGCUUAUCACUCGUAAGCAAAUGUGAUUUCGGACGGAGAUUAAAUAUGUUCACAAGGUAAUAAUAAAAAACUCUUAAGUAAAUGAAUUUUUUGGAUAUGUAAAGAAAUUUAUUUUGUUUAGGGAUGCUAAAAUAAGUUGGAUUAAUGAGAUAAGUUAAUGGUAAUUCGUACUAUAAUCAUACUGCGUAUAAAGUAUGAAUUAAAAAUUAAAUUUAGCAGGUAAUGUAUAAGUGUCCGAAAAUUCUUAUAAGAAUAUUAUAAGAUGUGCGCGCGUGCGUGAGUGCGUGUAUUAUUUGCCAAGAAGGAUAUUUAUACGUUUCUAUCAUAACUGAAAGAUGAGUUUUUUGUAUACAUUGAUAUUUGAGAGAGAGAGGAAGAAAGUCACUUUUGAUUCUAGAUUUAUAAGAAUAAAGAUAAUUUAAAAUACGA